GAGUCGGGGAUGGAGGGGAGAAAAAGGGCAGGAGAGGAGGAAAAAGCCAGCGAAGAAGGAGUGCUAGAAAGAAAGGGUUUUUUCUUCAGGUUCAGUCCAGCCUACACCUACGGACCAAGAGCCCCAUGAGUGCUCAGAACUCAUCUGAUGCACUGCUGGCACCUGUCUGCUGCUGUAGUGCCAUCUGAAUCCACUUUGUGUACUCAUCACUGUUGGGUGAAACAAAGCGUGAUUUGAUGGAGCUAAUCAGCACAGCAGAAUAAAGACAGAAAAUUACCAAACCUCCAUCUCAUUCUUCAGUCUUUGACCAGAAAAAGAAUCAAGAGGUUUUUAUCUUUCAAGUCACCAUGUGUUUUCUGUUGUGUGGUCUGCAGGAGAGUGAUCACACCAACAUGGUUCUGAGCAUCUUACAAAACUGGAUCUUCAGGUCAUGUCUGUACUCGAUUUUAAAUGAAAAAGAAAGGAGUAAGUAGAACAAUAGAGUUGAUGCUAUGUACUUGGAGCAACAGAAAGUCAACCCAAUUAUUCAAAUACAGUCGCUAAAAAACCAAACAGACAAGUACUGUUAGGGAAAUAAUCUGAUAAUUAAUGUAUUUGCCUGAAAUUAUGUCCAAUCUGCAGCAGCUGGGGAAAAAAAAGUCAGCUAAAUGGGAAGAAAAAGAGAACCGCAACUCUAACACCUGCAAAUUUCUCAAAAGAAUGUAAGAAAACAAAUUCAAGUGACCAGAUCCUGAUAAAUCCAUAUAGUGUCCUUCUAAGUCAAACAAAUUUCAUGUUUUCUUCUAUGCAUGGAACUAGACUCCUGAGAUUUUGACUGUUACAUCCAAACCUGAAUCUUGGCCUGUAAAGUUAGCUCUAACUAAAAGAUGUUUUCUCCACUUCUACUCCAAUACUAUAUUAUGAUUAAUAUUUAUUUUAAUGGUGGUUCUCAUGAUGGUAAUUUUUUUAAAUUCUCUUACUGACAACUCAUGAACAGAAGUUGGCACAUUUAUGAAGGACAGUUGUCUUACUAGAUAUAAUGCUGUUGUUGUUAACAUCAGUCUUUUAAUCUCUGUAUGCACAUACAAAUAACAUGUCAAUGUGAAAUAAA